UGCCUGUCAGCGUCCGAUGAGGAUCGAGGAUCUGACCAGAGAAAUCUGACCAGGCAAAGGCCUCAACGGCCGCUUGUUUGACCCCUGCGUUACCAGGAGACCGGAGUACGAGGGAUGGAACCCAAGACCUUGAAAAUGCUGGGCAAACAUACCACUGAGAUGAAGUUUCAGUCCUUAAAAUUCAUUUUAAAGUGACUACAUAUGAAACACAGAAAAUUGUAUGUCACUGUGCAUAAUUGUAUUUAUAAAAGCCUUUAAUUCUUUUUG